CGAGUAGGUGGCUUGUUAAGCGUGUGGUGAAAGCCCGGGGCUCAACCCCGGGUCUGCCGUGCGAACUGGCAAGCUUGAGCAGAGUAGAGGCGGGUGGAAUUUCGGGUGUAGCGGUGGAAUGCGUAGAUAUCCGAAAGAACACCGGUGGCGAAGGCGGCCCGCUGGGCUCUUGCUGACACUGAACCGCGACAGCGUGGGGAGCAAACAGGAUUAGAUACCCUGGUAGUCCACGCCGUAAACGAUGGGUACUAGGCGUCUGGGGGAGCGACCCCCUGGGUGCCGGCGCUAACGCAUGAAGUACCCCGCCUGGGGAGUACGGCCGCAAGGCUGAA
rnacentral:rRNA from 1 species